rnacentral:lncRNA from 1 species
UGACAGGGUGUGUAAAGCAAAAAAAUUGAAAUUAAUCACCCAGGCAAAGCAAUGACAGAUCCAAAGGUCAUUGUUUUGUUCACUCAAAUACUUUAUUAGAUACCUUGAUCAAAAAUUAUGUUCAUGUUUCAAAAUCUUUAACUUGUUGGUACCAUAAUCGAUUAACUUUUGCAUAAAUUCUAGUGAAACAAUUACAUUCAAUUUCAAAAUAAAAAGUGUUUACUAAUAUAAUGAGCUGUUCUCCAUGAAGAGUCUGAGCAGUAACUAUCAACCCACACAUUUUAAUUUCUUAAGAUAUUGUGCUUCUUUUACAGUUGGAAUUUAUUCCAACUUAUUCAGCUUUCUGUACUCACCUUAAACAAUAACUUUGUUUAAUUGAGAAUCAGAAUUAUUCUAAGAAUUUAGCACAAGAGAUAUAAUUAUUCUUCAAGUGGCCUCUUAACAUCUUUUGCAUCCUAUCUUAUGUGGACUGAUCUCGAAGAAUUUAAGAGAUGACUUAGAAUUGGAAGAAAUGCCCUACUCAAUUUCAUUAGAACAAUUGUUUAUUAAGCAUUUACUAUGUGCCAGUGCUAGUCAGUAUGCUAAGUGUUGCAGGGAGCACAAACAUGAACAAUAUAUCUCUUGUCAUUGACAGUGUUAAUAGAUGGCUGGGGAAUGGUUAGAUCCACUGUGAUCUUUAUUGUUCACCACAUCUAACCCAAAACAGCACACAAUCUAAGUAAAAGCACCGUGCCUAAUAUUUUAAAUUACCUUCUUGUCACAUACGCUAUUAGGAGCACUCCACCCCCACUUCACACCCUUAACAAGAUUAGCACUUCUAAGUCUCUUCUACCUUGGCUCUGGUACUGAAGAAACAUGGUCUGAUAAGGAAAAAAAGUUCUGGAGGAGCACUAAGAUGUGAAAACUGGAUGAGAAAAACAUGCCAAGAAGAGAGAGCGUUCAUCAUAUUUUCUGUUUGCAUACGUCCUUGGUGCUUCUGAAGCUUUGAGGCUUAGCUUCCCCUCAUUGUACACAGGAAAAUUCUUCUUGACUUAUGUGUGUUGUUCACAAAAGUACUAAGUAGCAUCAUGGAAUUUGAGAAGGUGUUUUCUCAAAUCAUUUGUUUUUGAGUGUAUCUCAAUAUUACAAUUUCAGAAGACAAUUAGAACUAGGAUAAUAGAAAUAUAGAGAGAAUGCAUGUUAAAUUACAGACAAGCAUCAAUGAUGGUUGAAAUUCCCAUAGAACCAAGUUGGAAAAUAUGAUCUGUCGUUUAAGACCAAUUCCACACAUAGGAGGAAUUGGAAGUUGCCUAACAAAACAGAUUUAGGCACAAAAGUCAGGGCAUUGUUCUAGAACAAUGGUCUUUAAAGUGUGCUAUAGAUCAAUGUUUCUACGUUCAUUAUCAGAAUCUAAUUACUCUGAGUGUGAUGUUUUUCUUUAAUCUCUUAGGGAAGGAGGGCAUCUUCAAAGCCUGCUAGGUGUGGCUUCUUUUAAAUUCUGUAGUAUAGACAUUUUCUUACACAGCUUUUGUAUGUGGAUCCAUCGAAACACCAAAAAUAAACUGAAUGCUUAGUCCUUGGUCUGAAACAGUCAUCC